GCGGCGAGGCGUGGUGGUGACGUCAGUUCCCGCCCGGCGCAAGACGUCACCAUUCCGCGCCGCGCAGCGCCUGACCCGACCUCGCGCUUCGCUCGCGUCUUUCGCGAGCAAGCCCGCUUUUUCCGCCGACUUCCUCAGGAGCACCCUCAUCGUGCCUUGGAAUCCAAUUCCAAGGAUGCUGGAAGCCUAUGGAUGAGGAUAUAACGCUGUAAAGACUCACAAAAUGUGUACUAGUACUUCCAGGAGAGUUCCAUUUAAACAGGCCCCUCGCCAAUCCUGCUUCCUCUGGGAGAAGCUGGCUAUAGUCCUGGGCUGUAGGGCUGCAUAAAGCCACAGGAAGGGAACCUGGUCCCCCAGCACCAAGUGCAGCUGGCUGAGAGGGAGGGGCCGGGGCCACACCCUCCAGCGGAGCUCCUCCCCUGCAGGCCUCCUGCUGCUGCUGCUACUCACAUGGCAG